rnacentral:rRNA from 1 species
GACGAACCGUGCGAACGUUAUUCGGAAUCACUGGGCUUAAAGGGCGCGUAGGCGGGCAACCAAGUCCGGGGUGAAAUCCUCCAGCUCAACUGGAGAAGUGCCUCGGAUACUGGCUGCCUCGAGGAGGGUAGGGGCAUCUGGAACUAGCGGUGGAGCGGUGAAAUGCGCAGAUAUCAGGAGGAACACCGGUGGCGAAGGCGGGUCUCUGGGCCGAUACUGACGCUGAGGAGCGAAAGCGUGGGGAGCGAACAGG